UACGGGGGGGGGCAAGCGUUGUUCGGAAUUACUGGGCGUAAAGAGCGCGCAGGCGGCCGUUCAAGUCGCGUGUGAAAGCCCCCCGGCUCAACUGGGGAGGGUCACGCGAUACUGAUCGACUCGAAGGCAGGAGAGGGUAGUGGAAUUCCCGGUGUAGUGGUGAAAUACGUAGAUAUCGGGAGGAACACCAGUGGCGAAGGCGACUACCUGGCCUGUUCUUGACGCUGAGGCGCGAAAGCUAGGGGAGCAAACGGGG
rnacentral:rRNA from 1 species